rnacentral:lncRNA from 1 species
UGAAUUUUGCUGCAGGCACCUGUAUGUGUGUGUCGCCCAGUUUUCGUUCACUAAUUACGCCUCAACUUUGUCUUGAAUGUAGUUCUCUUUUGUUCUGGAUGUAGACCUCAUUUUCAGUCUGAUUGAAUUUUCCACAUAUAGUGUGUUACCCUGUAAGAUUUUUUAGAAGCCCAAGGAAUGUUUGUAGAUGGUCAGAGGAUAGGUAACUGAAUGCAUGCGUUUUUUUUCUUCUGCAGGAGUACUAAUGUGGAGAAAUUGUAGGGUGCCACUUUUUGUUGUCAGCUUGAUUUUGAUGGCUUUUAGUUAGUAAUGGAUGUGAUUUGUUUUUCAGAGAGUUGAGUGAUUACGUAGAGAAUGGCUUAGGGAUCAUCUGAAUGUUGUGUUAUGCACCAACUAACCAGGCAGUAGAUUGUUCUGAAACUAGUGUACGCAAUGGAAUUUGUUCCAGUUACCCUCUUUUAAUCUGCAUAAGUGGGAAGUGGAAAGUUUAGAUAUCUGUGCUCAUACAUGUGCUUUUGGAUCUAUGUUUUCUUCCUUAUACACAUGUCAUUUUUGAAUUUUUUUCUCGUAAUUCAGUAUGUAAGUCUGUUUGGUUAUCUGAACCUGAACGAACAACUUGCUCGUCUUUUUGUCCUGUGCAUCGAUGAGUUUGCAGGAACAGCAGACUUUGUCCUUGAAAUGCAAAAUAUUUUUUCCCCUGAUGAUUGUUAGCUUAAAAUAUCCCUUGGCAGCGUCAAAUUUCAUAUUCAGUAGUCUGUAUUUUUUCUUUUUUUGCCACCUCUGAAACUGAAUGAAUAGAUGUUAAGACGCUCCUUCAGUUAUGAGUUACUCCAUAAUAGCACCAGUAUGUUUGAUGUCCAGUGUCCGGAUCCUUUUUUGAAAAGGCUUUCGGAAUGACCACAUGUUUUUUUAUCUUGUCCGAUGACUAGAGAGUUAUCUUAGCUCACAUUAUGUCUUCAUUCUUGGGGUGUAUUCACGUGCAUUCUUUCAAAUGUCGUAUGUUUGAUCAUGUUGUCACUGUCUAUGUUGUUUCAAUUAUGCUUUUUCGUGCCAUGACCCUGAUCUAGCCCACAGUCAUCUUGUAGGAGUAGUUAGUUAUGUUUUUACUUUUUUUUGCUGCGAGCACAACAUUUUUUGGUCAAUCUUUCAGCCAGGUGUGGAGCUCCGCUCCCACCAGAUAGCUUUUACGUUCUGUUCAAUUUUAUUUCUUAGUGUGUAUUUUCCUCCAUGUUUUUCAUUUUGUAUAGCUUGCAACAGUUUAUUUUGCUUUCUAGCCUGCUCCUUAUCUUGGUGUAUGUUUACUUUUUCUAUAGUUUUCAAAACACUAGUGUUAUGGGGGGAGGGGGGGGGGUGUUCUGGACGUCUGAUGUUCUUUCAAGGCUAUUUUUCUUAGCUUUCUUUUUUGCCAUACAUGCAGGUGUGCAGAUUAUGCAGGUCAUAUACCUUACAGCGUUGGCUAUGACCACAGCUACGAUCCUGAUAAUGAAAUGUCAAACAGCGACUGUCUGGAGGAGAGUAGCACAUGCAGUGAUGAUGUAUGUCCAUGUAGAUUUUAAUUGGUUUUUUCAUACCUUUUUUUGUUUUUUUUGUUCCUGUCUUUUUACAUGUGUAACAACUCCUUCUUUUCUCUUUUCUGUUUUGUUUGCUCUAAAGGAAUCUGUGUCCAGGAGGAAGAAGGUGUUAGAGUAUUCAGCUUUUUCAAGAAGGAGGUACGUUUUAUCUUCUUGUUUUUAGUUUUUUUAGUAUUUUUUUAUGUUGAUGGUUUCUGUUUGUUGGUUUCCAUCUUACCCAACAGGCUCUCAAAUCUCUCAAGAGGGAAUUCUCAAUUUUUUGUCAGAACGCUAAUAUCAAAGUCGAGGUUGCUGAAUCUCUUGUACAAACUCUAUGUUUUUGCAUCACUGAAUUCACUUUUUUUGUUAGUCUUAGUCCGCUUUUUUCAAUGUGGUUUUUCAGAAUAAAAGGCUAAAAGCAACAGGGCUAGGAAGGGAUGCGUAUAGUGUGUAUGCCACCAAGUACUUCGCUGAGAUACUCAAGCGUAUGGCUAUUGGCCGGAAGGAUGUGAUCUCAAAAUACGGGUUCGAGCAUCUCCUGAAGUUUGAGAAAACUGAAUUCCCUUCUCACUUCACCAGAUGGAUUGUUGGUUGCGUAGACACAAUAUCUUCCCAAAUCAUUAUUGACGAUCAGAAGAUUAUCUCUCUUUCUAAGGAGUCUGUCCAUCUUGUGUUGGGUCUGCCGAACAGUGGCGUUGUAGCGAUGCCCAAUAAGGAGAGAGGGAGGAGUUUCAUUAUGUCUAGGUUCAAUCUUUCAGAAAUUCCAAAUGUCACUUUCUUUGGAAAUAUGCUCACAUCAGAAGAAGAUCUUAGCGAUGAGAACACCUUCAUAUGUUUCAUGGUGAUUGUUAUGUCAUGCUUUCUGUAGGAGAUAUGCCCUAGAGGCAAUAAUAAAUGUUAUUGAUUAUCUCCCUGAUCAUAAUUAUGUUUAUGUUCCAUGCUAUAACUGCUGUGGUUCCCGAGCCCGUAUAUCCAUAAAGGCUCUGGGGAGAACCCAUAUGCACGUGUGGAAUAAUAAACGGUAAAAUGUAUUCCUAGUCGUGCCUCUAAGACUAGCUCAAGUAUUGCAUGAUGAUUAUGUUUUCCCAAUCAUGGGCAUGUCUAUGCCAAGCAACUUUGAGGGCACAAUGUCAGUAAGGACAUUUGUGUUGAAUCGAUCCGAAUUGAUGUUAUGCUAAGAGAUACAUUCGUCACAAGUUAAUGGUUUAUAACACAGAGAUAGUUAAUGUUUGCAUAAUUCCUUAGACCAUGAGAGUAUCGAGUUUCUUCAUGCUUGCUUCAUGAACUUUGGGGUUUGUUAAACGUCAUCCGUAGCUGGAUGGCUAUUACGGCGGCUUACGGGUUCAUGGGAAAGUAUGUUAAGUAACUUGAUAGCUCGAGAUUGGGAUUUGCUCCUCCGACGAUGGAGAGAUAUACUCGGGCCCUCUCGGUGUUACGGUGUCCAUCGUCGUCUGGCCAGACACUUUGUGAUUUGAUCACGGGGAUGCCGGAACACGAAACGAGAAAAGAGAACAAAACCGGUAACGAGCUAACUAGCAUAGUGGACAAGUUGUUGAUCCACGGGAAUGCCAACAUGUCUCACCUCGGGUAUUUGUAACAUAUCGCGAAGCAACAGGAAUAGCACAUGGCAACUGGAGGUUCACUCGAAUAUUUAUUCGUGUGGGUAUAGGGGUCCAUAUAGGUGUCCACGGCUCCGAUGUUGAUCAUUGAUCGGAAGGGGUUCCGAGUCAUGUCUAUACUUCACCGAACCUAUAGGGUCACAUGCUUAAGGGUCAUCUAUCUGCUGAAUACUAGACAGGGAGUCUGAGAGAAAAUCACCGAAAAAGUUUUGGACACCGAAAAGUUUCGGACAGCGGAAUCGUACCGCAGAGAGAGGUCAUCGGAUAAGUUUCGAUGAUACCGAAAAGUUGUUUCGGGAUACACUAUUAAGUCAAAUUGGUUUCGGCACAUGCCUGAUAAUUCUUGGAGGAUGCCAGAAUCAUUCUGGAAGCUUUUUGGAAUUUUCUGAGAUAAAAACCGGAAAUGUUCCAGAGCUGCCGGAGCCACUUCAGAUGCGUUUCGCAGAUGAAAAUCACUAAAACCGGAAUUGUUUCAGAACACGUUGAAAAUCAUUCUAGUGGGUACUGGAAAUGUUCUUAGCCCACAUAAAUAUUUUCAGUUCGAUCAGACGCUGAAAAAUGUCGUCGUGAAUAGUGAAAAUCAGCUUUAUGGUUACUUUAUGGAAAGCCACCUUUUGGGGCUUUGCUCCAAAAGAUCUUGGGGAUGACAUGGAUGGAUAGGAGCCAUUUUUUGGGCCCCUCAUGGGGGUGUGGCCGGCCACAUGGGGUAUCCCCCCUUGGGGACCCUCUUGUUGAUUGGUUUCACUCCUAGGUCCUUGUGGAAGGACUUCAUUCAUGUGCAUUUUGGGUUUUUUGUGAAACUACCCUACCCCCUUGGGAUUUCCUAUAAAUAGAGGUGGAGGGGCAGCCCUCCACACUCAUCCCUUGCUCUCAUACACAUGCCAUGCAUUAUCUGGCUUCUUCUCUCCCUCCCACGAAAAGAGUUUCGUAGAGCCGUAAGGCUGUCUGGGUUCCGGCGGGAACUAGUUCUGGACGGCGAAGCCCUGCCGGAUAGAUGACACCGUAUGUGUGCAACUCUGUAGAGAGAUCGUAGUUUCGGUCUUAGUUCGUGAGUGCCUCCCGAAGGGCUGUCCGUGUGACCGUCCGAGUUUCGAAGGUCCUCCCGAAGGGCUGUCCGAGUGACCGUUCGAGUUUCGAAGGUCCUCCCGAAGGGCUGUCCGCGACACCGUCCGGGGGGGCUGUUCGACCACCUCCCGGAGGGCUGUCUGAUGAGCAGAUGAGGGUUUACAUCCUCGCGGUUGGGAGGUUGUAAAUCCUAGAUGCGGGGAUCUGCACCGCCGAUCGUCAUCGACUCUACUUCCCGCUGCGCUACGAGUCGGUAACGAAAAAGAUCAAACCAUGUAUGCAGUCUCCAUAGUGGUCCUGGGCUGGUGCGUAGGUCGGAAAUUUUUUGUUUUCUGCUGCGUUACCCUACAGUGGCAUCAAGAGCCGUGCUAUGCGUAGAUGCAGGUUUCGAUCUAGAAUACAUGGAGAUCUAUGGGUAUUGCAUAAUAUAUUUAGGUAGUAGAUGAGAUCUAUUGCUGAAAAUUAUUUAUGCGGGUGAUAGAUGAAAUCUGUUACCCGGCGUUCUUUUUGCUUCCCUAGAAUUUGCGUUUGCUCAAUCUCGAGACAGCAUGGUGGAAUUUGACAAAGUUCUGGCAAUCCGUGAUCCUGAUUGAUCAUGGAAGUGCUAUCAGUUCUUUGGGUUCUGCCGUAGUCAAAAGAAAGAUGAAAUUCGCAAAUGAAAGGGCAUUGCAGAUAUGAUCUGCGCGGGGUCAUGCGUAUGAUGAAGUUUAUUAUGGGGCUCGAGAUUUAAUUAUCUCGUGUUUCAUACACCCCAAGAUGUUAAUCUAGCAACUUGAAUAAUCAUACUUGAUGAUAAAACGUUGGUAGCUUCGGUUUAAGUCAAAACCUUAGAAGCCACAUAAAAUAAAUUUUGCAUAAACCGAUUAGAGGCGUCUAACUUGGUUUUGCAGGAUGUGCAUGUGAUGUGGUAUAGCAGUGCUCAUACUAAUUCGAUUAUGUAUGAGAUGACUAUAUGAUGUAAUUUGAUUAACAUGACCUGCGUGUCAUGAUUCGGCAUGAUGGCUGGAGCCAUAUGAUUGCACUUUAAUGACCUACGUGUCAACCUUAAGUAAUGCAUUAAUUUUAUACGCUAUGGAGAUAGCAAUAUUAUCUGGUGCAUCGACAAGGUGGUGGCAAUCUUCGCGAAGGUGAACACCGACGCGUAUGCUGAAGACGAAGAAAUGAAAUACUUCUCCGUCAGAAAGGGCUAUACCAUAUCAUGCUAUUAUGAAUUGCCUGAGAUGUUUAUCCCUUAUUGUGCACCCUUCUUGAUUGCGUGGUAGUCCCUUUUUAUGUGAUCUCUCACAAAAAUACCAAGUAGUUAGCGUUCUCCCAAGUGUAGCACCGUCACGGCACCUAUCUUUUCGGGGUGCGCCGUGUCACACGGGUACGAACGAUUAGAGAAGUGUGAGGCGGGUGAGUUGAGACCUCGCAGCGAGAUCACUUGGUUGUCUUGACGUUCAGGCAUGACCGUCAUGAGCUCGGAACACACGCAUCGAAAGAUGAACAAGAGUAACAUAGAGAUGUGAUUGGCAAGUUGGCCUACCGGUUGAGAUUUUUCGUCAUCAGUGGUGUUACACCAAUGGCGAACAAUUGAAAUGUGGGUCUUGUAUCACUCACAAUCAAUUUUGAGAGAUAUUGAUUUGAGUGGGAGCGCACUGUUGAAUUAACAUGUUUAAUUCUCAAUGCAAUUAAUUUUGAACACUGUCUAAGUGUGGUUUGCAUAAUAGUUGUAGAAUAAUGGCUCGCAUUUCCACCUUCUCUAUUAAAAUUGAAUAGCUGUUAAAUAUCUGGUUAAAACUUUACGAUUGGUAACGUAAUAUGAGGAUUGUCCUCAAAAGUGUCGAGAAGGACUUUGUCCUAUCGCAUGCUUUCCGUAUCCUCCCGCUAAUGCUAUGGAUCAUGUGACUCUCGUCCUUCGAUCCAAAAGCUAGAAUUCUGUUACGGUCAAGUGGAAUAUAUUUGCUUCCAUGAAACCCAAACUUCGAAAGUUGGGAUAGUUAUAUGAUAUUCAUGGAACUGAAAAUUAUUUUCAGAUACAAACAAAGCAAUGUUUGUUUGCAAGUAUUAGUAAAAGUGUUUACUAUGCAUUUGACUGUUGGGAAAGGGAUCCAGAAGAACGCCUGUCAUAUAAUGAAAGGUGAAUAAAACAACAACUUAAAGAGAAAGGAAGUGUCCAAAGGGUGUUAGUAUGACUUACACGCCUAGGAAGUCCGGGGCUAAUGCCACUCUUAAGUUGGGUGCUUCUUUUGAGAGGAGAAAUACUAAAAGUUAAACUGUUAGAAGUAUAAAGGCAAAAAUAAAGAAGACUGGAAUAUCCAGCUCAUGUAUGAAUGUCAUACAAGUUUUUGAUGUAUAGAAGGCUGGUCAAAGAUAUAGUUCUUGCGAAUUAUGGUUAAACAUGUUAAUCACUAAUUCUUGGGUAUUGUGAGUUAAUCACAAAAAUGCACGCUCGAUUGCAUUCUGUUGCAACUCGACGCAAGAACUACUAUGGCCUGAAAGACUAGCCAGGAAUGAGGUUGAGAUACACACAUGGAACAUAGUAAAUGUUACUAUACCUUCCAUCGGUGUAUUACCCAUGUAUUUACUUUCAUAAUUCAUUUUAGAGUUUCACACUCUAGCCCUUUGCAUAAGGUAUCUUGCAAGAAGGUUGUUCAUAAGAGAACUUUUCAUGUUCGGUGUUAUGAAUAACAUAAGGGCCAUACUUUCAUUAUGAAUGAGAUGUAUGUUAUGAAUAUUGAUUAAUACAUUACCUCUGGGUUUACCUUCAUAAUUCAUUUUAGAGUUUCAUACACUCUAGCCAUUGCACAAUGUUUGAUGCAAGAGGGUCGUUCAGAAAAGAACAAUUGUUAUUCAGAAUUAUGAAUAACAUAAGGGCCAUACUUCCAUCAUUGAUGGGAUGUAUGUUAUGAAUAUUGAUGGUAAUAUGGUACAUCCAUAAACACUGACGCUGAAUGUCGCAAGACUAAAAGAAUACCACACAAGUGUGGCACUGCAUUUGGUCACAUUAGAGAAACCCGCAUGGAAAAUUCUAUUAUGAUGGAUUUUGAAGUCGUUUGAAUUUGAAUCAUCUGACGCUUGCAACUUUCCUCCGAAAAGUGAAGAGACUGAAAUACCGUUCACAGGCCAUAAGGAGCGAGCAACAAAGCUUAUUGGUGAUCAUACAUUUGAUGUAUGUAGUUCAAUAAAUAUUGUUGCAAGUAGUGGAUUUAUCUAUCUUCAGAAAUGACUCAAGUAGAUAUGUUGAUAUUUACUUGAUGAGACGUAAGUCUGGAUCUUUUGAAAUCAUUCGAAAGGUUUUCAAAAAUGAAGUAGAAGUUAUUGUAACAAGAAAAUUCUGUUUCUACAAUUCGAUUGCAGAAAGGAAAGUUUGAGUUACAAGUUUAGCGAAUGUCUAAUGAGUUGUGAAAGGGGUUUCAUAAACUUGCACCUCCGGGAACACCACUUCAAGUGGAAAGUCCCUGAAGAUGUAAUCGAACCAUUUAUGACAUGGUAAGAUCAAAGAUGACAUAAAUAAAUUUGCCAUUAUCCCUUUUAAAGAGUGAUGCUUUAGAUACUACGGCUUUUACACUGAAAAGAGCUUCAUCAGGUCUGUUGAAAUGAAGCCAUGGUAUGGUACGCCCAACCAUGUUGUAUCUUUUCUUAACAUUUGGAAUAUGGGGCUUGUGUAAAAGGCUACAAACCUAUUCCAAAUCAGACAAGUGCUACUUUGUAGGUUAUCCCAAGUCAUUGGGUAUUCCUCCCUCACUAUACCGAGGCAAAUAGGUUUGCCACAAAGAACGGUAUGCUUUUAAAGAGAAUGGUUCUUUCUAAAAAGUGAGUGGGAGAAUAGUGCAACUCGACGAGAUAAACAGUAUCUUCAUCAGAUCAAAGGAAAGAGACCUUGAAAGAAAUUCCAGAGUUUCCUACUGCGACUGAUACGGAAGUCUCUACAAUAAAAUGUAUGGACUUCGGUCGAACUUGCAGCUGAACCACGUAGGCAAAGCUCAUGCAAACCUCUCAGGUGCGCAAACGAGAUAUUGUUGUUAGACAACAAUAUACCUACGAUACACAAGGAAGCGUUGAUGGGCCCUAACUCCGGAAUUGGCUAAAUGCCAAUACAACCCGAGUUAGUUUUCAUAUAAGUGAUUCAAGAUUAAAACCUCGAUACACCUUUCGGAAGACUUAGAGUCUAACGAAUAUUUAUGGAACUUAAAACUGAUACGGAUAAAAAUGUUUUAUCCAUAAAACUCAACUUGUUGAAAUAACAAGUUCAAGGAGUUGACUACAAUGAGGUGGUUUCACCGUAGCGAUGCUUCAAGUCGGUUCGGGUUGAACUAGCAAUUAAUACAUAUUUCAAUCAUGAGAUAUGAAACAUGGAUGAUAAAAGGAUUUCCAUCUGGUGGAAAUGAAAGCUAGGACUUGUAUAUGAUACAGUCCAAAGUAAUUUGUCGAUCCAGAGGAUGCUAGUAGGUAUGCAAACUUCAGAGUUCCAGCAAUGGACAGAAGUGAGCAAAAUGGAGUUGGAAUCUUCGUGUUUUGAUGAAAUGGUCAAAGGGGUUUUGACUUCAUCAAUGGGUAACGAAGAUGCUUAUAAUUCAAGAAAGUAAGUGGGAGCGUAAUAAUAUUUCUAAAAACCUUAUGUGCUUGGCACAUUGGUAAUUGGAAAUAAAUUUCUUGACACGAAUUAGGACUUCAUUUCAAAAUAGUUUUUCGAUGAAGUGCUUAGGCUAAAUAGCCUCAAUAUUAGGCAUGAUGAUCUAUGGAGAUAGAUUUACCUAAUGGGGCUAAGCAAUGAAUACAUAUUGACAAGAUGCUAAAACCUUUUAGCAUUUAAAACGCCAAGGAGUGAUUCUUGCCGAAGUCACAUGGAAAGAGUUUUUGCAAGACUCGGUGUCCCAAAACACUGAUGAGUAAAAUACACGAUGGAGAUUCCACACGCUCUUGUGUUUGGAUUAAUCAUGUAUUCCCAUGGUAUGUAAAACAGCCAGAUAUGUCCGAUACUUUCAAGGUGUUGCGAGUAUGGAUACCAAAGUGAUCAAAUUACUGAUCAUGGGACAACAGUGAAAGAUGUCACAGAGUACUAGAGUAAGUACUGAUGACAUGGUUUUCUCGCAAGCAGAGAUCAUGAAGAGUUUGUUGUAAAAUGUUACAUCGAUACGGUCUUCAUCUUUUCUCCAUGUGAUUUUCGAUUUAAAUUAAGGGUUUUGUAUAACACACAAUGUGGUGGCACAGUUAGUUGGAAUUUGUUCAAACUAGUUACUGUGGCGAAUUCUAUAACAAGGGCUAAGUAUGUUGACGCUUUAGAAGCGACAAAGAAGAUGUUGAAUCAUAUAGUUCAUUCAUGAACUUAGUAUGGUUCCAAGAUGGCUUUUGACAAUGGGACACUACUGCAGGUAGUUGCUCCAUAACUCAGUCUAAGGAAUCCAGGUUCGACCUGUGAUUCACAUACAUACAAAGCCAAGUCCACACAAAAUAUGAAUUUUGUCAAAACGUGAAAACGCGAGGACAUGCAAAGAUACACACGGAGCUGAAGUCGUCAGAUCCGUUGGACAUCAGGCUAUACCACAAGCGAAGCAUAUUUACACCAGUGUGCCACAGGUGUGAAGUGCAUUAGCAUAAGCUAGAUUAUUGUCUCUAGUGCAAGUGGGAGUCUGUAGGAGAUAUGCCCUAGAGGCAAUAAUAAAUGUUAUUGAUUAUCUCCCUGUUUAUAAUUAUGUUUAUGUUCCAUGCUAUAACUGCUGUGGUUCCCGAGCCCGUAUAUCCAUAAAGGCUCUGGGGAGAACCCAUAUGCACGUGUGGAAUAAUAAACGGUAAAAUGUAUUCCUAGUCGUGCCUCUAAGACUAGCUCAAGUAUUGCAUGAUGAUUAUGUUUUCCCAAUCAUGGGCAUGUCUAUGCCAAGCAACUUUGAGGGCACAAUGUCAGGAAGGACAUUUGUGUUGAAUCGAUCCGAAUUGAUGUUAUGCUAUGAGAUACAUUCGUCACAAGUUAAUGGUUUAUAACACAGAGAUAGUUAAUGUUUGCAUAAUUCCUUAGACCAUGAGAGUAUCGAGUUUCUUUAUGCUUGCUUCAUGAACUUUGGGGUUUGUUAAACAUCAUCCGUAACUGGAUGGCUAUUACGGCGGCUUACGGGUUCAUGGGAAAGUAUGUUAAGUAAUUUGAUAGCUCGAGAUUGGAAUUUGCUCCUCCGAUGAUGGAGAGAUAUAAUCGGGCCCUCUCGGUGUUACGGUGUCCAUCAUCGUCUGGCCAGACACUUUGUGAUUUGAUCACGGGGAUGCCGGAACACCAAACGGGAAAAGAGAACAAAACCGGUAACGAGCUAACUAGCAUAGUGGACAAGUUGUUGAUCCACGGGAAUGCCAACAUGUCUCACCUCGGGUAUUUGUAACAUAUCGCGAAGCAACAGGAAUAGCACACGGCAACAGGAGGUUCACUCGAAUAUUUAUUCGUGUGGGUAUAUGGGUCAAUAUGGGUGUCCACGGCUCCGAUGUUGAUCAUUGAUCGGAAGGGGUUCCGGGUCAUGUCUAUACUUCACCGAACCUAUAGGGUCACACACUUAAGGGUCAUCUAUCUGCUGAAUACUAGACAGGGAGUCUGAGAGAAAAUCACCGAAAAAGUUUCGGACACCGAAAUGUUUCGGACAGCGGAAUCGUACCGCAGAGAGAGGUCAUCGGAUAAGUUUCGAUGAUACCGAAAAGUUGUUUCGGGAUACACUAUUAAGUCAAAUUGGUUUCGGCACAUGCCUGAUAAUUCUUGGAGGAUGCCAGAAUCAUUCUGGAAGCUUUUUGGAAUUUUCUGAGAUAAAAACCAGAAAUGUUCCGGAGCUGCCGGAGCCACUUCAGAUGCGUUUCGCAGAUGAAAAUCACUAAAACCGGAAUUGUUUCGGAACACGUUGAAAAUCAUUUUAGUGGGUACUGGAAAUGUUCUUAGCCCACAUAAAUAUUUUCAAUUCGAUCAGACGCUGAAAAAUGUCGUCGUGAAUAGUGAAAAUCAGCUUUAUGGUUACUUUAUGGAAAGCCACCUUUUGGGGCUUUGCUCCAAAAGAUCUUGGGGAUGACAUGGAUGGAUAGGAGACAUUUUUUGGGCCACAUGGGGUAUCCCCCCUUGGGGACCCUCUUGUUGAUUGGUUUCACUCUUAGGUCCUUGUGGAAGGACUUCAUUCAUGUGCAUUUUGGGUUUUUUGUGAAACUACCCUACCCCCUUGGGAUUUCCUAUAAAUAGAGGUGGAGGGGCAGCCCUCCACACUCAUCCCUUGCUCUCAUACACAUGCCAUGCAUUAUCUGGCUUCUUCUCUCCCUCCCACGAAAAGAGUUUCGUAGAGCCGUAAGGCUGUCUGGGUUCCGGCAGGAACUAGUUCUGGACGGCGAAGCCCUGCCGGAUAGAUGACACCGUAUGUGUGCAACUCUGUAGAGAGAUCGUAGUUUCGGUCUUAGUUCGUGAGUGCCUCCCGAAGGGCUGUCCGUGUGACCGUCCGAGUUUUGAAGGUCCUCCCGAAGGGUUGUCCGAGUGACCGUUCGAGUUUCGAAGGUCCUCCCGAAGGGCUGUCCGCGACACCGUCCGGGGGGGGGGCUGUUCGACCGCCUCCCGGAGGGCUGUCUGAUGAGCAUAUGAGGGUUUACAUCCUCGCGGUUGGGAGGUUGUAAAUCCUAGCUGCGGGGAUCUGCACCGGCGAUCGUCAUCGACUCUACUUCCCGCUGCGCUACGAGUCGGUAACGAAAAAGAUCAAACCAUGUAUACAGUCUCCAUAGUGGUCCUGGGCUGAUGCGUAGGUCGGAAAAUUUGUGUUUUCUGCUGCGUUACCCUACACUUUCUGUUCCCUUCUUCAAAUGAUCAUACACACACGGACUUCCUAUUCCUUCUGGAGGAUCCUACUGUCACAAGGGGAUUCGACAUGUGUAUUCUUGUCUACCAAUGGAUUUUGGCCGGCAUCAACCAAUAUGUGUUGUUUGGUAGGGAAACCGGCAGGAAACCAAAAGCCUUUGAUUUCUGCAUAUAUUGCUUGGCUGUAAGUGUUCAGUAUCUCUUUUGUUCUUUUUGUUUUUUUGGUCACACAUACCCCGUCUAUUGUUUUGUUCCUUUUUUCUCUAAGUUUUUUUUUGUGUGUUUUUUGAAGGUGUUGUAUUUAGAUAAGCUUGACUUUGGUGUAAGGGUGGUCGAGCAAGGCGCCCCAAGGAUUCUUGCAUGGAAGGGUAAUUUGAUUAAACAUUUCUCGGAACUUGACCGGAAGAAGAGCAACUUGUUUGGAAGGAGACCGUUCAAAAAGGAGGUGUCUUAGAUGUUUUUGCAUUUUUGUGCUGAACAUUUUUUCUAUCAGUAGUUGAAAAGGGAGGUAGGAACAUGCAUCCUUUUUUCUUUUCUGUAAAUAGUCUUUAUUUUUGACUAUUUUUCCUUUUUUCUGCAUCAAUCAUUUUUUUACGACGCAGCAUCUGUUUGCAACUGAAAUUGGUGCUCAUCACGGCAUUAUACAACAAGGAUCAAUGUCAGUAUCUUUCAAAGAGGAAAUGUUGUCAUCUUAUGCUAACGUUCUACAUGGGCAGGUUUUAGUUUUGCCUUUACUAUGUUUUGUUAUCUUUUCCUUAAGUUUUUUUCUCAGGUUUUUUUGUCAUUUUUUCAGUGUAGUUCUUUUUGUGUUAUUAUAUUAUUGUUCUUGUCAGAUUAUUCAGGGCAUCAUUGGCAGCGCACACUGCGACAACAUAAAGGAGUCUGGUUUUCAAAAUGUUCAGGAAGCAAUAGCAUCAAAUGUGUUGAAGUUUCUAUCUAGACCCGGAGUAUCAUCUCUUUUCAUCGCUGGUGGUCAGGGCACCCUUUCAAAACUAGGAUCAUUAGCGAAACAGAAGAUGGGCAUAUCAAGUGAGGAUGAUAGAACUCACAAAAAAGGUUUCCGCGGUAUGCAUUUUUUAGUGUGUUCAGGCUCUUUUUUACUUGAGAAGCUCAUCGGAUACUUGCUCUGUUUUUUUAAUUGAAAGUUAUUUUGAUCACUGUCAAGUUAUUUUUAGUUUUUGUGGUCUUCAUAGAAACGUUUUUUAUUUUACUUAUGUGAGUAUAUGUGUCUUUUGUUUUGGAAAGCAGAGUAUGGUGAAAGCAGUGAUGUGAAUGAGAAGCUCAAGCACGUUAAGAGCAACAUCAACCGAACAACUGUCAAGAUCAACGAAAACAUGGUUUCAUCAAUUGCAGCUAGCAAGCAUUCCGACACAGGAACGAGCAACAACAAACUUCCGUUGCAACCUGUUGUUGAGAACAGUUUGUCGUUAGUUCAUAACGACUCGCAUGACGCUUUAGGUUCAUUCGUGCACUUUUUCUCCAUGUUCCUCUUUUAUUUCCCCCUUUUUUCUGUGUUCUUUUCGUUGCUUUAGUGGCUUUUUACAUCUUUUUUUUGUGUUUUUUCUGCAGCAACCCCAGAAUGUGCGAUUACUAAAAUUGUUGAACACAGCAAUGAAAAAGGUAAAUCUAUUUUCUUCUUUUUCUUUGGUACUUAAGUUUAGUUUUUUCUAUGAAUUGUGCAGUCAAGUCUUAAUUUUCUCUUCUGUUCUUUUUUCCCCAUCCAAGUGCCCGAAGUGGAAGUAGUGAAGAAGGUCAGGGCUAGGGUGUUCAACACAAUGCAUCGUGAGCAGGAGUUUUCUUUGAUUAACACAUUCCCAGCAGGGGUGAAGGAGCGCAACUCUUUUCUGCAGUUUAGUGUGCAACACAGCUAGGGCACUUUCACACGCUCCAUCAGUCUUACCGGCACAAAAAAAGAUGUUGGAGGUCAGAUUGCACCUCCUGAGGCAGGGCAGAGCAAUUACCAGAUGAUUAACCACAUGUCACCAAUAGGCCGUACAAAGCUGUUCAGCGAGGUCAGUUUUUUAUGCAUCUUUUUUGUUUGUCACAUUUCUUUCUUUUUUGUCACUAUGUUUUUUCAUCUAACACCCCAUGCACUAUAGGACUGCAACAUUGGCACCAGCAACAACCCUCCUAAGCUCAUGGCAUUGGCAGACAAGUUUUCAAAAACCAGCCAAAUCAUUGGCACAAAACAAGCACCAAUCCCACUGGCCGAUCUUUCCCCCUCUAUGGUUAGUGUUUAGUUUCUUUACUCUCUUUUUAUUUUUAUUUUGUUAUGAGGCUAUGAGGGAUAUAGGGACCUGAGUGCGUCUUGUUAUACCUCUCGUAUUUAGUCAUUUUUUAGUCUUGUCUUCUUAGUACUUUUAUUCAGCAUUUUUCUGUGUUCUACACGCUCACCAUAGUUCGGCAGCUCAACCAAUCAGCAAGCAACAUUUUUUGUCAGCAUAUUUUCAUAGCUGGACAGUCCUGAAAUUAAUCUAUAUUUUUUUGCAUAUGUGUAGCCGUUUUGGCUCAGUUUUACAUGAUUUUUUGCAUGUUAGCUUUCACUGAAGCUUUUUUAUUUUUGUUUUUGGCAGUCAACUAAGAGGAAGGCAGACAUCGUUGAUAUCAGUCCAACAAGUUUUUGUGUCCGGCAGAUUGAAUUAGCUAAGAAUGCAGAUCUUGUAUAGUUGUAUACAACAAUCUAAUCGGACCAAUUGCGAAACGUCAACGCCAAUCUACAGUAGGGGUAGAAGAGGUUGUUGAUGUGCCAGACGACACUGAUAAUCAUAUCAUUAUCGAUGAACUUGCACCGGACACCGUUCUCAAUCAAGGUGGACAUGAUGAUUUGAUCAUUUUGCGACCAAAAAGUCUCUUGGAACUCCCAAUCGAGGAAAAUGAAAAGUUCCCUGUGUCAAAUUAAGAGUGCAUGCAUUACAACUCAAUAAUCGAACUUGCCUAUACAAAAAGAAUUCAGAGGUAUGUUCAUCAGUUUUUUAGCCUUUUUUAUUAAAUAUUUUUACAUAUUGGUCUUGUUUUCAAUUUUUUUAUGUGUGUACUAUAUCAUAAUUUUGUAGUAUAUCAUUUUGAAGUUGUCAAACAUCUCACUAGUUUUUUAACACUUUGAUUGAUCGAUCAAAACUCUCUGCCUCCAACAGCAGGCAAGCCAUUGUACGCUGUACGGAUUUACAAGGCUGUGGCAGUUAACCAUCUUUUUUUGUUGCUGGAUUCUUGGAGUGUGUGUGUGUUGCUGGUGGCUCAUGCUCAACAUAUUGUUGUCAGAUCGAUUGCCCCGUAUAAGGGCAGUGCUCAUUGUCAUUGGCGUUUUCUUUGUAUCAUAGUUCUUUGACUGAGAAAAAAAAUCAUGUGUAUUUGUGUUCUUUCAGCCUGUGAAAAAGUUCCCAGUGUUCUUUUGGCUCUCUCGUUGUUGAUUUUGGUAUAGUGUCACCUCAAAACAAGCUCAAGUCAGUGCUUCAUGCUGAAAUAUGUUAGUACAAGUUUAGGGCUUUUAUACUCUAGAUAGACCAGCUAAGGUCUGAUACUUUGAGUUACUGACAAUAUAAACAUUAGUGAAUAAGUAGGCAAGUAAGGUUUUUAAUUUCACUAUCCUGUGAUAUGUUUCCUAGUUCUACUUGAAUAGCUCAUGGUAAGCAAGAUGUUUUUAAUUGUCGAUCAAAUGUUGUUUCAUCAGAAGAUGGCAAUCGCCAAGACCAAGAACACCGACUCGAUUAUUCCUGUUCGCCCAUAGAAAAGUGUGGCCCUGCCUGAUCAGUUUUUUUUUUGUUCUAUGUGGCGAACAAACAGGAAGUAUGCGUUGACGUACUCAAUGGUUCAUUGCAAUUACGUAUCACUUGGACAAAGCCUUAUGCCAACAGGGCACAUCGACAAUUUCCUGAUCCCUUGCUUUUGUCGGAAGUUCUUCGAGGACCGUCAUCCCUCAAUCUCUGGAAGGCACCAUUUCUUCCCGAACAUUGGCGUAUGUUCUUAGUUUGGCUCAGCAUCUAUCAUUUUUUUCUUUUCGCUUGUUUUUUAUGUCAUUAUUUUUGGUGUACAUUACCCUCCCUCUACUUUACCAUUUUGGUCAUGUAUUUGUCUGUUCCCCGCAGGAGUAUAUUCUGAACUACCCAAAAGACGAUAAACUAAGAUCAAUUGCCACUUCGUUUUUGGGGGCAGCAUCAGCAAGUAGGAGUAAACGGCUAGAUUUGUCAAAUACGGUGUGUUCUUCUCUGUCAUUUUUUUCCUUUUUUGUUUGUGUUCUAUUUUUUUUCGUUUUGAUAUUUUUUGUUCUAACUCUAUUUUUGUGUGUGUUUAUUUUUUUGUAUUUUUGAUCAGCUGUUCUUCCCCACAUGCCUCGACAACCAUUGGAUAGUGUUUGUUGUCAAUUUCAAGUGGAAACUUUUUGCUUUCUUGGAUUCUUUUUACGACAAGGACUCAUAUCUUCACAAGUCUACCAGAGAGAAAUUUGUAAGUUGUUCAUCACCUUUUUUUUUGUUUCUGUCCAUCACACUUUAUACAUCACAUCAUUUUUGUCUAAAUGCUUUCCCCCCAUCUAUAUGAUUUUAAUUUUUAUGUUUCUUUUUUUCAUCAUUUUUUUAUUUACAUGCAGAUCAAUAACUUCAUCAAGUUGUGGGAAAUCAUUUUCCAAACAGACCAGCAUAAUUUCAAGAUUUUCAAAAGGAUGUACCCUCACGUGCCAAAGCAGAAUAAUGGGUCAGGGCUCUCUUUUCCCACCUGCUCUGUUUUUAUUAUUGUUUUUAUCCCCCUUUUUCUGAAACAUCACCUCCUUUUUAAGAAAUGAUUGUGGAGUGUUUGCAACAAAGAUAAUGGAGAUAUGGGACCCAACCUUGGAUCUGCGCAAGAUUUUCUCACAUGAAGACAUCCAACACAUAAGAAUUCAGUACAUGAACCAACUUUUCUUUUGGAAGAAAAACACUGCAGACAAGAGCCUUGUCACUGGUUUCAACUUACAGGUUCUUCUUCUCAUUUAUUCAUUUUAACUCUUCGUUUUUUUCUCAUUUUUUAAAUUGUAUUUUUUCGCAUCUUUUUUAUUCUUUUUUUGCAUUUUUUCUAACUGUCUUAUGAUGUGCGUUUUUUUUCCUUUGAUAGGGUAACUUCGUCAGCGAUCCUCCAUGAUAGCGGUGUCGUUCUCUGUUUCUAGGCUUGUUUGGAUGGGCAUCAAGAGAAGAAGAGAGCUCAUUUAAAAAAAUUCUGUAGCAUCAUCUAGAUCAUUUUGUGUAGUGUAGUGGUCAAUGGAACUGUUGAGGAAGUUGUCGUUGGUAGUACGAGCAUCUCAUAUUGUUGUAAAUGGUGGCCACUUCUUUUUUCAUGUAAAGAAAAAUCUUCUCUUCUAUGUCAUACGUAUUCAUUCUGAGACAGACUAUCAUUUACUUUAUCAUUUUGUUUGUUCUCCCGUAAUUUUCACUAUUUCCAGUUUUAUUAAUUGUUCAGAUUGGCGUCAGAUCUUCUUCUCUAUUCUUUCUUUUAGUUUCCCUCGGUCUUAUUUAGUAUGUCUUCAGUUUUUCUUUUUGUAGUUUCUUAUUUUAAUCUUGCAGUCGGUACCUAAAGGAAUAAAUUGUGCUCAGUAAGUCCCUCCCAUUCGCUUAGUCACUCUCUGCUUCUUUUGCUUCGGCACUUCAUUUUUUCCGUGUCAUGUGCAGCAACAAGUGAGUCUUCAUCUAUUUCUGAUUCUCAAUGAUGGUGGAGGUACAUCUUUAUCUAAUUUUUUAGUGUUCUUCAUUGCAGGUUAGUUCAUGGUUAGGUUUCUUGUGGCAUUUUCAGUUUAGUGUCUGAACCCGUAGGUGUCUAAUUUCAUUCUGCAGUGUGUAUCACUUUUUCCAUCGAUGUGAUUUUUUUUUAAAACCUCACUCUAUGCGCCGCUCUUUUUUUGAUAGAUGCCAUGCUCAGUCGCACUACUGCUAUGAAGACUCUAACAAAGAUGUCUAGAAUCAGUCCCUGUUCGCAUCUAUUUCAAAUAACAUGGAAACAUCACACUCAUUUUUUUGUUCAUAUUCUUUGCUUCUUAUAAGGUAUUUCACACAUUUUUUGUAAACAUUCUUUUCUCUCAAUCUUUUUUUCUUACAUGAAGUUUGUACAAUCAGAAAAUGUAAAUAGUCCUGGCUACUCCUUUGUUCUCUAUCCAUGCAGGUUACAAGCAGAUGGAGUUAGAGUUGCAGGGUAGGAGCCACGUCAUUGUUGCAGUUGGGAGACCUCAUCCGUAGGUAUGUUGGUAGCGUAGAUCUCUUUGUUCUUUUCCCUCCUAGCAUUCUGCCGUCCUUGCCCUGUUAUAUGCAUGAAAAGAGUUAUUUUGUUAGUCGAUAACAAUACCAUUUUUUCACAUUUUUUAUAUGAGUGUGUCAAUGGAGUGCUAUAUUUAUUUUCUAGUAGUUUUUUAUAGGGAAUCACCUCCAUCAGCCGUGCUUGGCUGGUUUGUCUUCCUAGAUCUCUUCUUUUUGGGGAUAUCGUAUACUUUAUCCAGAUUAGUGCAUUUCCUUUUUGUGUGACCCGGAUCAUUACAGUGGCUGCACUUGUAGAAUGUCUUGGUUUUUAUGCGUUCUUGUAUGGUCAUCAUUCGUGGGCGCCCUUUUGUGUGUGCCUUAUCAGGAUUCAAUAGCCCAACAGUUGAAUUGCUGCCCCCACUCUGCACCAUAGUUGUCAGUGUGCCUAUUGUCUUGUUGGAUCUGUUGCUCUCCUCUGUUUGUUCUCCUUGCCCAUCCAUCUCUUCUUCUCCUUCUCUAUCCAUAUCAAUUAAGUGUUGUUGAAUCCUGAACAUUUCUGAUACCAGGUAUUCAAACUUCCUUUGACUCUUUGAUGCGUUUGAACCAAGCCCCAUUAGCUUCAUCCCUAGGACAUUGUAUCUCAGUUCGUCAUUAUCUAAUAUGAGUGGAAUCUCCUUGGGUUUAUUCAUUUUCUUGCCUUGUUUCCUCCAUCUGUCUAUUAUGUAUUUGUCUGGUAUCUUAUCCACCUCAAGGUGCACCAUCACUUUCAGAAUAUGAGAACACAAAAUGCCAUCCUUUUCAAACUUGCAACAAAUGCAGGAGUAAUCUUCUUUCUCAGUAUCCACUUGCACCACAUAAAGCCUUGUCUCGUGUUCUUGUUUGUAGUAGUUCUUUGCCUGGUACACCAUGUAUAGUUUCAUUUUUUCCUCUUCUCUAGUUUGCAGUCUUGUUACAUCAUUCAGAAUGAGCUGAAAUUUUCUGAAGAUGCUUAUGUUGUACAGGCUGUGUGCUUGUCUCUCGAUGUAGUACUUAGUGUUGAAUGAUUUCCAGGAAACUUUUUUGUGCUUUGCAUUAUGGUCAAGCUCAUCCUCAUUUGCAUGGAUGUUGUCUAGUAUUCUCUGGUAUUCUCGUAGGAAGCUUGUCAUGCUGAACUGUGCACCAACCCCCUUCUUGAACAAAGCAUUUGUGCCCUCACUCCUAGCUGUUGUUUGGAUGAAUGGGAAAAACUUUGUCUUGAAGUACACUGGCACAAAUUUUUUCCUUGCUUCCCACAUGUCUUGGAAAAUUUUCACCUCACCCACAUUGUAAGUUUCAAUCAUUGUUUGCCAUAGUGUUUCAAACUCUCUCUCUCUCUGUCAAUGAGUUAUUCACUAUGUCGUGAAAGUCCUCAUAUAACCCUUGAUUCAGUUGAAACACUCUGCACCCUUUCUCUUCGGCUUUUUUCAUCACAUGGAACAAGCAUGUUCUGUGUGUUGCUUGUGGAAACACAGCUUUUAUUGCCUUUUCCAUUCCUCUGUCUUGGUCAGUUAUUAUUGUUUUGGGUGCCUUGCCUCCCAUUGCUGCUAAGAACUGCCGGAACAACCACUUGAAUGUGUUAGCAGUCUCAUCGAUAAUAAGGGCACAAGCAAACAAGUACGUCUUCCCGUGUGGAGAAACACCAACGAACGGUGCAAACGGCAAGUUGUACUUGUUUGUUAGGAAUGUUGUGUCAAAGCUGAUGCAGUCCCCAUACUCUUGGUACAUUAUUCUAGAUCUAGCAUCUGUCCAAAACACGCUCCUGACCUUGUUUUUUGCAUAUACUUCCAUUGAGUAGCAAAAUCCAGGGCUCUCAGCUUGUUUGUUCUCGAAGUAUUGCUGCACUUCCAUGACGUCACUGUUUUCCAAUUCUCUGUUUAUUGUUGUACCAUAGUUACUCACUUUCCUUUUGUUGUAUGGUAACUUGUCCAUUCCUCCUCUUAUGUACGCCAAUACUGCCACUAUCUUCCUCGUAGGUAUGUUGCACCUUUUCAUUGUUCUGAUCAAUGCUUUCUCUUCAUCAGACAUGUAAACAUGAGAUCUAAAAAACCUACUGCGAGGGUUGAGCUCAUGGUUAUGAUCAAGAUUGAGGUUAGUUAUGCGCCAUUUUCCAUCUUUCAAAGUAGCAUUUGUGCUUUGCAGUCUGUCUUCGCUAUGACAGUGCUUUUUCCUUGUACAGACAAGUUUUCCAUUUCGGCCUCUAUAUUAUGCCCAUACUUGUUGCAUUUCAGUGUUACCAUUGUAACUUCUCUGUCCCUUUUUUGCUGGUUGUGCGGGCAGUCGACACAACAGAUAUGGAGAAACCAGCUACAAAGGCAUAGAAGUUUAAGAACUUUUGAGCUUCUUCCCUCGUAGCAAAAUGCAUCCCUGUUUCAGGUUUCAGCUCGCUAUCAAUUGUUCUGUCGUUCCCUCCUUCUGCGGCCCGUCUUUCAUUUUCCAAAAUAUCUUCUGUUGUUUCUUCAUUGAUUUUCAUUAUGUUCAUUCUUGUUGUCUUGCACUUGCAGAUGGCAUGCAUCAGUUGAUGUUCCCGCCUCUCGAGACUGUCUAGAGGAACCAGCGUACACACAUGUCGGCGAAUCGAGAUUCCAGGUAUGAUUUUGCUCCCUCUCAGAAGAGCCGUCUCUUCCUUCAUUGUUUGUAUCAACCUGCAUGUGUUGUAGUGACGAGUUAAUCAUUAAAUGUGUGUCAAAUUAUCUCCUUUUUUCUUUUUUCCAUUAGUAUGAUAGUUUCUAUUCUUUUUUGCUUACUGAUACCCUUUUGUGUUUUUUUCUCUAAGUUUCUUCACUAGAAAACAUUUUUGCUCACCUGAUCCAAGCGAAUAUCAUCAAAGAGGGUUUAUCUCCAUGGAUCUCCUUGACAGUCAUUAAACGAUAUAUCGUCCCCUCCCUUGGAUAAUUCAAAAGCUGUUGUUUGUGCACCUAGAUCCUCCAUUUGCACGGGAGAAUUGUCCUGGUCGUCAACAAAGUCACCCAUCAUGCCUAAAUCCUGAAAAAAAGGAACAUUGAAACCUAUCACAUGUCCUUUUUGAUAUUUUUCAUCAUCUGUUUUAAGUUUGUCACUUUUUUCCUGUUUCCGCAUUUUGCUUUUUAGUUUUCUUUUCCCAGCCCUUUUACCUGAAGGCUUGGUGUGCUGUUGGACGUGUAGUCGCCACCCAAGACCUGAGCCGCCUUUGUUUGUUGUGAAUGUAGAAGAGGUUCACCCGCAUCACUUGUUUGACCAAUGUCAGCAGCACCCAAGCACGACUCCGGUCAGUUUGACGAAAGUUGAUCUUUAUUUUUAUUUUUUUCAAUUUUUUCUUUUCAAUUUUGAAUCUGCCCGCACCUGGGUAUUCAUUGUCUGAGAGCCUCCAUUUAGGUCAAUAUAACCCUUCAACAGCACCACAUAAGAGAAGUUUGGCUGUUUCAUGCACAUAAUUACUUUUUGUUAGUUUGCACACAAGUUGUAAGGCAUAAAAAAUACGAAGCAUUUUUUCCUUCCUCCAUCGACCUGCAUGAACAGAGCUUCUUGGCUUCCAAUGCACAUAUCAUGCAUAUCCUCAUUCACGCAGCUGUUCACCUGUAAAAUCCAGUCUCUUUUUCAGAUACAAUAUAGAAACUCAAGAACAAAUAUGUGACGAAGAAGUAGUUAAUUCUAUCAUUACUCUCUUUUUAGUCAUAUGUCACAUUGAGUCAAUUUGUAUUCACGCAGCUGUUCACCUGUAAAAUCCAGUCACUUUUUAGUCAUAAUUAUUUUAGUCUUGUUCUAUGAUCUUCUGUCUUAUUCAGUGUUAUUUCAGUCAUAAUUUGUAUUCUUUUCAGUCUUCUUGGUAUUCUUUCUAUCAGUCCUCUAUUUUCCAUCAGUUUUCUGCUUUGGAUUCAGUAAUCAAGUUCUUUAAGUCAUAUUCAGUGUGUGUUCCUCAGUUUUUUUUUCUUUCUAUCAUNNNNNNNNNNNNNNNNNNNNNNNNNNNNNNNNNNNNNNNNNNNNNNNNNNNNNNNNNNNNNNNNNNNNNNNNNNNNNNNNNNNNNNNNNNNNNNNNNNNNNNNNNNNNNNNNNNNNNNNNNNNNNNNNNNNNNNNNNNNNNNNNNNNNNNNNNNNNNNNNNNNNNNNNNNNNNNNNNNNNNNNNNNNNNNNNNNNNNNNNNNNNNNNNNNNNNNNNNNNNNNNNNNCUUAGUCCUCUUGGUAUUCUUCUCAGUCUUCUUGGUAUUCUUUCUAUCAGUCCUCUAUUUUCCAUCAGUUUUCUGCUUUGGAUUCAGUAAUCAAGUUCUUUAAGUCAUAUUCAGUGUGUGUUCCUCAGUAUUUUUUUUCUUUCUAUCAUUCAUCUGUUUCAGUUCUUAGUUAUCAAUCAUUAGUUAUCUUUAUUCCUUAGUCCUCUUGGUAUUCUUCUCAGUCUUCUUGGUAUUCUUUCUAUCAGUCCUCUAUUUUCCAUCAGUUUUCUGCUUCGGAUUCAGUAAUCAAGUUCUUCAAGUCAUAUUCAGUGUGUGUUCCUUAGUUUGUCAGUCAUUUCUUUUAGUUUGUCAUGUCCUUAGUUUUUUCAGUUUUAGAUUUCUGUAUUUUAGGUUCAGUGUCAUUUUAAGUCUUAUCCAGGUUUCAGUAUUUGUCCUCAGUUUUCUUCCAUAUAUGUCAUCAGGUUUCAGUAUAUAUGUCCUCGGUUUUAUCCCGAGUGUCCAAUUUUUGCCUCUUUGUUCAGUUUGUCCAUGAUUGCACAGUUUGUGUUAGUUUCUUCAGUCUAUGUUAAGUGUUUGUAUAUUCAGUGAUUGAUCGAUUAUCAGUUAUUUAUGCAGGAAGGUGAUCAUGUUUUUAUUGAGUUCUUCUCUGCCAAGUGGAACAACAGGGACACAAGCCUUAUCUAACUCUAGUACAUUUUCUUUAUGUAUAAAUGAUUCACAAGUAAGGUGAUCACAUAAAUGCAGCAUGUAUAUAUAAAUGAAAAUUUCAGGGAAGGGAGGGCAGUGUGUUGUUACCUGAGAUGAUUCCCCUUGGGGUGGCACCAUGUGGUUGUGCUCUGGAUCGUAAGCAGCAUCACCCUCACAUGCUUCCUCCGGCUCAGCCUGCAUGCUUGUUUCAUUUGAUUCAGGUGUGUGUUCUCCACUUGCAGCAACUGAACCCUGCAUUGCAUGUUUUUUCAGUUUUCAUCAGUCUCUAACUUAGGAAGUAGUUUCACAUGUGCCUCUUUUCUAAAGGAUUGGUCAUUUCGAAUGUCACAUUCUCUCAAUUUUUUCUCCUUUUUUCUUUUUGUGGCAUCUACUUACAAACACAAGGUUAAUCUGCCACUAUCACUUUUUUCACUCAUGUUCUUCUUUGCUAGCUAAUUUUUCAUCCCCCUCCCCAUGAACAUGAACUGGAAAUUCACAUUCAGUCACCCCCCUACAUUUUUCUCUAGGUAAAAUAUGAACACAGAGCACCUGUCUUCUCUGAAUUUUCAGUUUUUAUUCACAGAUUGAAAGAUUCUUCAGUAAGGAAAAGUAUGCAACUAGUGGGGUGGGUUGGGGCGAGAGGGGUGUACCUUAGUUUGGGCGAGGGCAGUCCGCGGCGGCUCCAAGUAGCCCCAAUCUGGAUCGCAAGGAGGAUCCAUGUCUUCUUCCCCGUCAGCCGCCAUCGCGCCCCUGCACAGACUUUACUUGAAGAAGAAGAAGAAGGAGGUGAUCGGGAUGGAAGGAGGAGGACAGAAAGGCCAGGACUGGGGGGUGGGGGCGGGUGGAGGUCGGGGCCCAACCCAGCCCGCUAAACGGGUGAGAGAGAGGGGUGGUGGGGUGGGCAGCGUGGGUUCCUUUUGUUAGUCAGCCUUCGCGUUUUCGCAUUAACGGGUCUGCUAGGCGGCCCGUUUCAGGGGCAGGUUCCUUUUACAUAAACUAGAAGGAGCCCAAGAGGCUUGGGCAGAUUUUCGACCUGAAGCAGGAGAGAAAACAUACGUUUUCCUGUUCUAAUGAGUUUCUAGACAGAGUAUAUACUUAGACACGUGUCAAUCAUUGGCUGGAAUAAAAAACGACCUGACACCAAUUUAAAAUCAGUCGACUGUUCAUUAGUCACUCCCAUGGCGUGCGAACGUCGGCAACCUCCUCCUCCUGUCUUUGUUGGGCUGGGCUUCUACCACCUUCUGGACGGGCUCCAAACCGACCACGGCUGGGCUUCCCUUCACGGCCAGCAAAUUCUUACCCUAAAAAAAGAACAAGCCCAAGCCCACCGCUAAAUUAAGGAUGGCGCUACGCAUUAUCCGACUGCGUCCCCACUUCUGAUCAACUCCCACCAUACGCCCCGCUGUGUCCCCUGGUCCGCAAACACUGAUGAUGUUUCUGAAACAUGGGCGACGUUCCAACCGCCGACUUGCAUCAACGGCUUAUAUGCAACAUCGAAAAUGUUCCCGUAGUUGUAGCAAUGUUACAAUCCAGUCCGAGCUCUGCAUCACCGGCGUUGUCCGCACUGGUCACAAGUUCAUGCCGCGGCAGCAUGGCCAGGACGGUCAGAAGCCGACAAACCAUGGGUGAUCGACGACGUCGGGUGAGGGAAGGGGAAGAUGGAAUGAGGGAGGGUCGCGGCGUGAGAAGCGGAGGAUUUGUGUGGAGGGAGUGGAUAAGAAUGAAGGGAUUUUGAGGGUGCCACUCUCAGGAAGCCACGCCACUAGUACGGUUUGUGAGUGAUGUUGGCCAGCACGGGGAUUACCGGUGGUAAUAUUUUUCUAUAGUGUGAGUGGGAGACAUAAAUUUUCAAAUAUGUUAAUCAAGUAUAAACAUUUUGAUUUUUUUAUGGUGUGCUGAUCUGACCUUUAAGGGAUACACUAGUAGAAAACAGCCCAUUAGUCCCGGUUCCAGAGGCCCAUUAGUCUCGGUUCAGCAACAGAGGCAAAAAGAACGGGACUAAAGCCCAAAUAUUUUAGUCCCGGUUGGUCUACGAACCGGGACAAAAGGGGCUCCACGUGGCUGCUGCGCAGCACUCACGUAGGAGGACCUUUAGUCUCGGUUGGUAACACCAACCGGGACCAAAAGGGUUCUUUUUUAAGGGGGUUUAGGGGUUUUGGAGGGUUUAGGGGUUUCAUAUUGUGUUAGCUAGCUACUACAUAUAAAGAGAAGUGACAUCUCUUUCUCCGUGCUUGGUCGACCCUAGCUACUAUGUAGCUAGUUAGCUAGUGAUCUUGGUUGGUUAGUUAGCUAGUGAUACGUCUCCAUCGUAUCUAUAAUUGUUGAUUGUUUCAUGCCAAUAUUAUUCAACUUUUACAUACUUUUGGCAACUUCUUAUAUGAUUUAUUUGGACUAACUUACUUAUCCAGUGCCCAAUGUCGGUUCCUAUUUGUUGCAUGUUUUUAUUUCGCAGAAAUCCAUAUCAAACGAAGUCCAAACGCGAUAAAAAUUUACGGAGAAUUAUUUUGAAAUAUAUGUGAAUUUUAGGAGGUGGAAUGAACGCAAACGGGGGCCCACAGUGCCCACAACCCACCAGGGCCCAGGCCCUGGUGUCGUGUGCCCUCCUCGAACGUCGGUUGGAGCCCUUCUUCUGGCGCAAGAAAGAUAAUUUAUGGAAAAAAAUCGUGUAAAAAUUUCAGCGCAAUCGGAGUUACGGAUCUCCUGGAAUUUAAGAAACCAUGAAGCACUACAAAAAAAUACGCUUCCGUGAUGAUACGUGUUUGUCACAGUAGGUCACGUUUUGGGCUGGGCUUCUACCACCUUCUGGACGGGCUCCAAACCGACCACGGCUGGGCUUCCCUUCAGGGCCAGCAAAUUCUUACCCUAAAAUAAAUAACAAGCCCAAGCCCGCCGCUAAAUUAAGGAUGGCGCUACUUUAUCCGACUGCGUCCCCACUGCUGAUCAACUCCCAUCAUACGUCCUGCUGCGUCCCCUGGUCUGCAAACACUGAUGAUGUUUCUGAAACAUGGGCGACAUUCUAAACCUCCGACUUGCAUCAAUGGCUUGUCUGCAACAUAAAAAAUGUUCUCGUAGUUGUAGCAAUGUUGCAAUCCCGACCGAGCUCUGCAUCACACCGACGUUGUCCACACUGGCCACAAGUUCAUGCCGCGACAGCAUGGCCAGGACGGUCAGAAGCCGACGAACCAUGGGUGAUCGACGACGCCGGGAGAGAGAGGGGGGAGAUGAAAUGGGGGAGGGCGGCGGCGUGAGAAGCAUAGAAUUUGUGUGGAGGGAGUGGAUAAGAACGAGGGGAUUUUAAGGGCGCCACUCUCCCUACUUUGGGCCGGGCCAAAUUUGUGGCGUUGGCUCAGGAAGCCACGCCACUAGUGUCGUUUGCGAGUGACGUUGGCUAGCAUGGCAAAUGCCGGUCGUAACAUUUUUCUAUA